CCUACGGGAGGCAGCAGUGAGGAAUAUUGGUCAAUGGGCGCGAGCCUGAACCAGCCAAGUCGCGUGAGGGAAGACGGUCCUAUGGAUUGUAAACCUCUUUUGUCGGGGAGCAAAAGACGCCACGCGUGGCGUUCCGAGAUUACCCGAAGAAAAAGCAUCGGCUAACUCCGUGCCAGCAGCCGCGGUACUACGGAGGAUGCGAGCGUUAUCCGGAUUUAUUGGGGUUAAAGGGUGCCCAGGCGGAAGAUCAUGUCAGCGGGCAAAUGUCGGUGCUAAACACCGGCCGGCCGUGGAAACUGGUCUUCUUGAGUGAGCGAGCAGGAUGCGGAAUGCGUGGUGUAGCGGUGAAAUGCAUAGAUAUCACGCAGAACUCCGAUUGCGAAGGCAGCAUACCGGCGCUCAACUGACGCUGAGGUACGAAAGCGUGGGGAUCGAACAGGAUUAGAUACCCGGGUAGUC
rnacentral:rRNA from 1 species